rnacentral:rRNA from 1 species
UACAGAGGUGGCAAGCGUUGUUCGGAAUUACUGGGCGUAAAGGGCGCGUAGGCGGUCUUGUAAGUCUCGUGUGAAAUCCCUCGGCUUAACUGAGGAACUGCACGGGAUACUGCAUGACUUGAGAUCGGGAGAGGGAAGCGGAAUUCCGGGUGUAGCGGUGAAAUGCGUAGAUAUCUGGAGGAACACCGGUGGCGAAGGCGGCAUCCUGGACCAUUACUGACGCUGAGGAGCGAAAGCCAGGGGAGCAAACGGG